UACGUAGGGAGCAAGCGUUGUCCGGAAUCAUUGGGCGUAAAGGGUGCGUAGGCGGAACUUUAAGUCAGUGGUGAAAGCUCUCGGCUCAACCGAGAAAUUGCCAUUGAAACUGAUUUUCUUGAAUACAGUUGAGGUAGAUGGAAUAUAACAUGUAGCGGUGAAAUGCUUAGAUAUGUUAUAGAACACCGAUUGCGAAGGCAGUCUGCUAAGCUGUUAUUGACGCUGAGGCACGAAAGCGUGGGGAGCAAACAGG
rnacentral:rRNA from 1 species